GAUGAACGCUGGCGGCGUGCUUAACACAUGCAAGUCGAACGGAAAGGCCCCAGCUUGCUGGGGUACUCGAGUGGCGGACGGGUGAGUAACACGUGGGUGAUCUGCCCUGCACUUUGGGAUAAGCUUGGGAAACUGGGUCUAUUACCGAAUAUGACCACUUCUUGGCUGUUGUGGUGGAAAGCUUUUGCGGUGUGGGAUGAGCCUGCGGCCUAUCAGCUUGUUGGUGGGGUAAUGGCCUACCAAGGCGGCGACGGGUAUCCGGCCUGAGAGGGUGUACGGACACAUUGGGACUGAGAUACGGCCCAGACUCCUACGGGAGGCAGCAGUGGGGAAUAUUGCACAAGGGGCGCAAGCCUGAUGCAGCGACGCCGCGUGGGGGAUGAAGGCCUUCGGGUUGUAAACUCCUUUCGCUAUCGACGAAGCCACUUGUGGUGACGGUAGGUAGAUAAGAAGCACCGGCUAACUACGUGCCAGCAGCCGCCGUAA
rnacentral:rRNA from 1 species